rnacentral:rRNA from 1 species
UACCUGCAGCUCGAGUGGUAACCGCUAUUAUUGGGCCUAAAGCGUCCGUAGCCGGUUUGGUAAAUAUCUGGGUAAAUCGUGAGGCUUAACUCCACGAAUUUCGGAUAGACUGCCAGACUUGGGAUCGGGGGAGGUCAGAGGUACUCCAGGGGUAGCGGUGAAAUGUUGUAAUCCUUGGAGGACCACCGGUAGCGAAGGCGUCUGACUAGAACGAGUCCGACGGUGAGGGACGAAGCCCUGGGGCGCAAACCGGAUUAGAUACCCGGGUAGUCCAGGGUGUAAACGAUGUGGGCUUUGUAUUGGAGGUCCCACGUGGGCGUCCAGUGCAGAAGAGAAGUUGUUAAGCCCACCGCCUGGGAAGUACGGUCGCAAGGCUGAAACUUAAAGGAAUUGGCGGGGGAGCACAGCAACGGGAGGAGCGUGCGGUUU